GUCUAGAGGACACCACAACAGCUAUAGGGUCGUCUUUCUCACCCAAAUCGGUUGUGCAACAUCGGCAGCUUCGGCUGAAAUUUUCUCAAAUCCUAAUGAUGUUGAAACUAUGAUGAUCUUGAGUGAAAUCCACAAGGGCACUUAACAGUUCUCACAAAUGCCAUGAAUUCAGCUGCAAUGAAGACUUCUUCAGCAUCACCAAUCUUAAACAAGCACUGUUUUUCUAGAUUAAGAACUUAGGAGCUAAUACCACUGCCUCGAGUUUUGAAAUUGACCAACACCAGAUCUCUAUGAAUAUGACCUGCGGACGAUAAAUUUUCGGCCUAUGCCUACUGAGCACCAUUCGUUUGGUACUUUUACUACACUUCUGCCCCCUGCAAAUCUCAUAGUACGAGUUAUCGCCG